UAAUACAUUACAACUUUCAGCGGUGGAUGUCUAGGUUCCCACAACGAUGAAGAACGCAGCGAAAUGCGAUACGUAAUGCGAAUUGCAAGACCUCGUGAAUCAUCAAGAUUUUGAACGCACAUUGCGCUUUCGGGUAUUCCCGGUAGCAUGCUUGUCUGAGUGUCUGUGGAC
rnacentral:rRNA from 1 species